rnacentral:rRNA from 1 species
GAUGAACGCUGGCGGCGUGCCUAAUACAUGCAAGUAGAACGCUGAAGCUUGGUGCUUGCACCGAGCGGAUGAGUUGCGAACGGGUGAGUAACGCGUAGGUAACCUGCCUCUUAGCGGGGGAUAACUAUUGGAAACGAUAGCUAAUACCGCAUAAAAGUCGAUAUCGCAUGAUAUUGAUUUGAAAGGUGCAAAUGCAUCACUAAGAGAUGGACCUGCGUUGUAUUAGCUAGUUGGUGAGGUAACGGCUCACCAAGGCGACGAUACAUAGCCGACCUGAGAAGGUGAUCGGCCACACUGGGACUGAGACACGGCCCAGACUCCUACGGGAGGCAGCAGUAGGGAAUCUUCGGCAAUGGGGGCAACCCUGACCGAGCAACGCCGCGUGAGUGAAGAAGGUUUUCGGAUCGUAAAGCUCUGUUGUAAGAGAAGAACGAGUGUGAGAGUGGAAAGUUCACACUGUGACGGUAACUUACCAGAAAGGGACGGCUAACUACGUG